rnacentral:rRNA from 1 species
GGGACACGUGGUAUCCUGUCUGAAUAUGGGGGGACCAUCCUCCAAGGCUAAAUACUCCUGACUGACCGAUAGUGAACCAGUACCGUGAGGGAAAGGCGAAAAGAACCCCGGCGAGGGGAGUGAAAAAGAACCUGAAACCGUGUACGUACAAGCAGUGGGAGCACGCUUAGGCGUGUGACUGCGUACCUUUUGUAUAAUGGGUCAGCGACUUAUAUUCUGUAGCAAGGUUAACCGAAUAGGGGAGCCGAAGGGAAACCGAGUCUUAACUGGGCGUUAAGUUGCAGGGUAUAGACCCGAAACCCGGUGAUCUAGCCAUGGGCAGGUUGAAGGUUGGGUAACACUAACUGGAGGACCGAACCGACUAAUGUUGAAAAAUUAGCGGAUGACUUGUGGCUGGGGGUGAAAGGCCAAUCAAACCGGGAGAUAGCUGGUUCUCCCCGAAAGCUAUUUAGGUAGCGCCUCGUGAAUUCAUCUCCGGGGGUAGAGCACUGUUUCGGCAAGGGGGUCAUCCCGACUUACCAACCCGAUGCAAACUGCGAAUACCGGAGAAUGUUAUCACGGGAGACACACGGCGGGUGCUAACGUCCGUCGUGAAGAGGGAAACAACCCAGACCGCCAGCUAAGGUCCCAAAGUCAUGGUUAAGUGGGAAACGAUGUGGGAAGGCCCAGACAGCCAGGAUGUUGGCUUAGAAGCAGCCAUCAUUUAAAGAAAGCGUAAUAGCUCACUGGUCGAGUCGGCCUGCGCGGAAGAUGUAACGGGGCUAAACCAUGCACCGAAGCUGCGGCAGCGACGCUUAUGCGUUGUUGGGUAGGGGAGCGUUCUGUAAGCCUGUGAAGGUGUGCUGUGAGGCAUGCUGGAGGUAUCAGAAGUGCGAAUGCUGACAUAAGUAACGAUAAAGCGGGUGAAAAGCCCGCUCGCCGGAAGACCAAGGGUUCCUGUCCAACGUUAAUCGGGGCAGGGUGAGUCGACCCCUAAGGCGAGGCCGAAAGGCGUAGUCGAUGGGAAACAGGUUAAUAUUCCUGUACUUGGUGUUACUGCGAAGGGGGGACGGAGAAGGCUAUGUUGGCCGGGCGACGGUUGUCCCGGUUUAAGCGUGUAGGCUGGUUUUCCAGGCAAAUCCGGAAAAUCAAGGCUGAGGCGUGAUGACGAGGCACUACGGUGCUGAAGCAACAAAUGCCCUGCUUCCAGGAAAAGCCUCUAAGCAUCAGGUAACAUCAAAUCGUACCCCAAACCGACACAGGUGGUCAGGUAGAGAAUACCAAGGCGCUUGAGAGAACUCGGGUGAAGGAACUAGGCAAAAUGGUGCCGUAACUUCGGGAGAAGGCACGCUGAUAUGUAGGUGAAGCGACUUGCUCGUGGAGCUGAAAUCAGUCGAAGAUACCAGCUGGCUGCAACUGUUUAUUAAAAACACAGCACUGUGCAAACACGAAAGUGGACGUAUACGGUGUGACGCCUGCCCGGUGC